rnacentral:rRNA from 1 species
GAUGAACGCUAGCUACAGGCUUAACACAUGCAAGUCGAGGGGCAGCAUGAUCGAAGCUUGCUUUGAUUGAUGGCGACCGGCGCACGGGUGAGUAACGCGUAUCCAACCUUCCCUAUAGUAGAGGAUAGCCCGGCGAAAGUCGGAUUAAUACUCUAUGUUUUCCAAUGCAGACAUCUAAGUUGGAACAAAGGUUCACCGCUAUAGGAUGGGGAUGCGUCUGAUUAGGUAGUCGGCGGGGUAACGGCCCACCGAGCCAACGAUCAGUAGGGGUUCUGAGAGGAAGGUCCCCCACAUUGGAACUGAGACACGGUCCAAACUCC